ensembl:lncRNA
GAGGCAAUAAUAAACUAAAGUGAAUAAAAAUAGUGAUCAUGCAAUCAUUAUUAUGUUGAUUGCAUAAUUCAAUGUAAUUAAAUUAUUUCAAUUAAAUUUUGAAACAGUGUUUCCUUGAUUUAAGGCUGUGUGAAGUAGAAUUGUCUUCCAAAAUGGACAGUUGGAUAACAUAUUAUUUACAUUGAUAGACAGAUAAAUUGUCUCAAAAAAAUGAUACACUGUUGUGAGUAAAGCCCAAAAUAACAUAAUGGAAGAAAAACUAACACAAAAUAUUCUAAUUUAAAACAAAAACUUUUCAGUUAAUAAUCUUGCACCCCCUCAAAUGUAGGACAAUAUCAUUACAAUAGUCCCAUUAUUAUAAGGUCAAAUUCUUAAAUAAGUAUGGCAGAUCAAAUUUGGUUUAUUUGUUCUGUAAUCAUACAGUUGUAACAUUAGUUCAUGUGACUGGAUCUGAUAUCAAAUUCAUUAUAAUGUGGCUCAGAGAGGAGGGACUCAGUGUUCAUAUGAUCUUAGUUUCUGACAGAGACUGCGGUUGAAAGGAUUCAGUCUGACUCUUCUCAGAGUGAACACUUGUACAAUGGAUCUUCAUUCAGUCAUUCUAUUCUGUGCCUCAGCUGCUGUUGUCUUAGGGAAUGUCAUUAAACCAAACAAAACAUAUGUUUUUGUUGAGGAAGGUUCAAGUGUUACAUUAUCCUGUAAUUUUUCUGCAUCCGGAGGUUCAGAUUAUCUCCACUGGUACCGUCAGUAUGGAAGAUCAAAACCUGAAUUUCUUGUACUCACCCACAGCAAAGCAAAAGGAACUGAGGUGUCUAAGAUAGAUCCAAGAUUCUCUGUUAACAUUCCAAAAAGUGAACAUGUGGAUCUGAAGAUCUCCUCUGCUGCUGUAUCAGACUCUGCUCUGUACUACUGUGCUCUGGUGCCCACAGUGACAGGAAACACAUCAGCUCUCUACAAAAACUUGUUACAGUAAGAGACAAGAGAGAAACACAGAGACAGAGAUAAAGACAGAGAGAAAGAAGCUGUAAGUGUUUUAUACUGUGUAGUGUACUAUAUAAAGUAUUAUGUAUGUCAGAAAAAUAAUAGAACCAAUGAAAAUAAAUCACAGGUAGCUACCA